CAGGAAGCAAGGAAAUGGAACCAGUGCCAUUUGGAGUAGGCUCCAGUAUCUGCAGUCAAGAGUGAUCCGGAAAACCACAGCGGUGUGUGUGACGUCAUGAGGACAGCAGCAGCCAAUUAGAUAUGUAAUCAGCAUGUCUCUUCCUUGAGCUACUGUCUAAUGUCAACUAUGAAGUUUCGUCGCCCAGGGGCACUUGGGUCAUGUUAUUUCAGGGUCAUGAUGAGAAGACUGCUGAUGCGGCCCUCCCUCGAUCGUCCUGCCUGUAUAACACAGUGGCUCUUUGAGUAGGACCGGGAUGGUAGUAAGUGCCCGGAGAUUUUUCCACCAGCAUUUUUUCCUCUAGACCACCAGAACAGAGUGGAAACGGAGACCCAUUGGUUUCAAUUAACUGCGAUGAGAAAUUGCAUUCAUGGCUGGCUUUGCCAUUCAUUUUUGCACCAAGAACUUUAUGGAGUGGGAAUGGCAGAACUCAUCUGGCAGGGCUUUCAAAUGCAGACGGCCAGUCCCCAAAUCCCCUAGGUGUGAGGGCUGCGUUCUCCCCAGCCAUGUUCUUUUCAAUAAACAUUCCCACACUUGGCCCUUUCCUCAAGCCGCCCUGUCCGUGC
rnacentral:lncRNA from 1 species